rnacentral:rRNA from 1 species
GACGAACGCUGGCGGCGUGCUUAACACAUGCAAGUCGAACGGAAAGGCCCUGCUUUUGUGGGGUGCUCGAGUGGCGAACGGGUGAGUAACACGUGAGUAACCUGCCCUUGACUUUGGGAUAACUUCAGGAAACUGGGGCUAAUACCGGAUAGGAGCUCCUGCUGCAUGGUGGGGGUUGGAAAGUUUCGGCGGUUGGGGAUGGACUCGCGGCUUAUCAGCUUGUUGGUGGGGUUGUGGCUUACCAAGGCUUUGACGGGUAGCCGGCCUGAGAGGGUGACCGGCCACAUUGGGACUGAGAUACGGCCCAGACUCCUACGGGAGGCAGCAGUGGAGAAUAUUGCGCAAUGGGCGGAAGCCUGAUGCAGCAACGCCGCGUGCGGGAUGACGGCCUUCGGGUUGUAAACCGCUUUCGCCUGUGACGAAGCGUGAGUGACGGUAAUGGGUAAAGAAGCACCGGCUAACUACGUG